rnacentral:rRNA from 1 species
CCGGAUGUUAGCGGCGGACGGGUGAGUAACACGUGGGUAACCUGCCUGUAAGACUGGGAUAACUCCGGGAAACCGGAGCUAAUACCGGAUAGUUCCUUGAACCGCAUGGUUCAAGGAUGAAAGACGGUUUCGGCUGUCACUUACAGAUGGACCCGCGGCGCAUUAGCUAGUUGGUGGGGUAAUGGCUCACCAAGGCGACGAUGCGUAGCCGACCUGAGAGGGUGAUCGGCCACACUGGGACUGAGACACGGCCCAGACUCCUACGGGAGGCAGCAGUAGGGAAUCUUCCGCAAUGGACGAAAGUCUGACGGAGCAACGCCGCGUGAGUGAUGAAGGUUUUCGGAUCGUAAAGCUCUGUUGUUAGGGAAGAACAAGUGCGAGAGUAACUGCUCGCACCUUGACGGUACCUAACCAGAAAGCCACGGCUAACUACGUGCCAGCAGCCGCGGUAAUACGUAGGUGGCAAGCGUUGUCCGGAAUUAUUGGGCGUAAAGGGCUCGCAGGCGGUUUCUUAAGUCUGAUGUGAAAGCCCCCGGCUCAACCGGGGAGGGUCAUUGGAAACUGGGAAACUUGAGUGCAGAAGAGGAGAGUGGAAUUCCACGUGUAGCGGUGAAAUGCGUAGAGAUGUGGAGGAACACCAGUGGCGAAGGCGACUCUCUGGUCUGUAACUGACGCUGAGGAGCGAAAGCGUGGGGAGCGAACAGGAUUAGAUACCCUGGUAGUCCACGCCGUAAACGAUGAGUGCUAAGUGUUAGGGGGUUUCCGCCCCUUAGUGCUGCAGCUAACGCAUUAAGCACUCCGCCUGGGGAGUACGGUCGCAAGACUGAAACUCAAAGGAAUUGACGGGGGCCCGCACAAGCGGUGGAGCAUGUGGUUUAAUUCGAAGCAACGCGAAGAACCUUACCAGGUCUUGACAUCCUCUGACAACCCUAGAGAUAGGGCUUUCCCUUCGGGGACAGAGUGACAGGUGGUGCAUGGUUGUCGUCAGCUCGUGUCGUGAGAUGUUGGGUUAAGUCCCGCAACGAGCGCAACCCUUGAUCUUAGUUGCCAGCAUUCAGUUGGGCACUCUAAGGUGACUGCCGGUGACAAACCGGAGGAAGGUGGGGAUGACGUCAAAUCAUCAUGCCCCUUAUGACCUGGGCUACACACGUGCUACAAUGGACAGAACAAAGGGCUGCAAGACCGCAAGGUUUAGCCAAUCCCAUAAAUCUGUUCUCAGUUCGGAUCGCAGUCUGCAACUCGACUGCGUGAAGCUGGAAUCGCUAGUAAUCGCGGAUCA